UCCAGACUCCUACGGGAGGCAGCAGUGGGGGAUAUUGCACAAUGGGGGGAACCCUGAUGCAGCGACGCCGCGUGGGUGAAGGAGCGUUUCGGCGCGUAAAGCCCUAUCGGCAGGGAAGAAGGAGGACGGUACCUGACUAAGAAGCCCCGGCUAACUACGUGCCAGCAGCCGCGGUAAUACGUAGGGGGCAAGCGUUAUCCGGAUUUACUGGGUGUAAAGGGGGCGCAGACGGCAGCGCAAGCCAGGAGUGAAAGCCCGGGGCCCAACCCCGGGACUGCUCUUGGAACUGCGCGGCUGGAGUGCAGGAGGGGCAGGCGGAAUUCCUGGUGUAGCGGUGAAAUGCGUAGAUAUCAGGAGGAACACCGGUGGCGAAGGCGGCCUGCUGGACGGCGACUGACGUUGAGGCCCGAAAGCGUGGGGAGCAAACAGGAUUAGAUACCCCGGUAACA
rnacentral:rRNA from 1 species